rnacentral:lncRNA from 1 species
AUAAAAGCAUAAAUAUAUACUGAUUUCAGGUAGUAUGACUAAAAUAUACAUACAUACUUAAGUAUACAGACGCACGCACAUACACACAUACACACACAAACACACACACACUGACACGCAGCUCUCUAAAUAUUUCAUUACUAAUAGAAUUACUACAAUUAUAUACAUAUAUAAUAAGGCGGUGCUCCAACAUGGCCACAGUCAAAUGACUGAAACAAGUAAAAGAGUAAAAGAGUAUAUAUAUACACGCGCGCCCUUACACACUCACACAUAUAUAUUCAUACACACACACACACACACACUUAUAUAUAUACACAGAUAUACACACGUAUUCAUGUAUAUACACAUGUAUUUUGAUAUACAUUAUACACUCAGAUAAUCAUACAUACGCAUGUACAAUUACAUAAUAUUGACACAGAUGUGUAUUAAUAUUUAAAACAAACUGCAUACGCGCAUACACGAAUAGAAAUACAAAUACACACACGCUGGCUGUCACACCUCAUAUACGCAUUAUAUAAACAUACACAUAUACACACUCACAUAUAUUCAUAUAUCAUAACAUAUAUUAAUAUAUCAUAACAUAUAUUCAUACAGUCUGGCGAAUACCUGAUACGGCUACACUCAAAGACAACAACAUGGUAA